rnacentral:rRNA from 1 species
UACGUAGGCAGCAAGCGUUGUUCGGAGUUACUGGGCGUAAAGGGUGUGUAGGCGGUUCUUUAAGUUUGGUGUGAAAUCUCCCGGCUCAACUGGGAGGGUGCGCCGAAUACUGAGGGACUAGAGUACGGGAGAGGAAAGUGGAAUUCCUGGUGUAGCGGUGAAAUGCGUAGAUAUCAGGAGGAACACCGGUGGUGUAGACGGCUUUCUGGACCGACACUGACGCUGAGACACGAAAGCGUGGGUAGCAAAC